rnacentral:tRNA from 77 species
UCCUCCUUAGCUCAGUUGGUUAGAGCAUCUGACUGUUAAUCAGAGGGUCGCUGGUUCGAGCCCAGCAGGAGGAGCAA